rnacentral:rRNA from 1 species
AACGAACGCUGGCGGCAUGCCUAACACAUGCAAGUCGAACGAAGGCUUCGGCCUUAGUGGCGCACGGGUGCGUAACGCGUGGGAAUCUGCCCUUUGGUUCGGAAUAGCAGCUGGAAACGGCUGCUAAUACCGGAUGAUGACGAAAGUCCAAAGAUUUAUCGCCAGAGGAUGAGCCCGCGUUGGAUUAGGUAGUUGGUGGGGUAAAGGCCUACCAAGCCGACGAUCCAUAGCUGGUCUGAGAGGAUGAUCAGCCACACUGGGACUGAGACACGGCCCAGACUCCUACGGGAGGCAGCAGUGGGGAAUAUUGGACGAUGGGCGCAAGCCUGAUCCAGCAAUGCCGCGUGAGUGAUGAAGGCCCUAGGGUUGUAAAGCUCUUUUACCCGGGAAGAUAAUGACUGUACCGGGAGAAUAAGCCCCGGCUAACUCCGUG